rnacentral:rRNA from 1 species
UUGCUCUUCAACGAGGAAUUCCUAGUAAGCGCAAGUCAUCAGCUUGCGUUGAAUACGUCCCUGCCCUUUGUACACACCGCCCGUCGCUACUACCGAUUGAAUGGCUCAGUGAGGCUUUCGGACUGGCCUAGGAAGAGUGGCAACACUCACCCAGGGCCGGAAAGUUGUCCAAACUUGGUCAUUUAGAGGAAGUAAAAGUCGUAACAAGGUCUCCGUAGGUGAACCUGCGGAGGGAUCAUUACAGAGUUCCUGCCCUCACGGGUAGAUCUCCCACCCUUGUGUAUUUUUAUGAUGUCGUUGCUUUGGCAGGCCGCUGGGCUUCUUCGGCCUGGCCACCGGCUCCCUGGGGCUGGCGCGCGCCUGCCAGAGGAUCUCUCAAACUCGGUUUGUUAGUGUCGUCUGAGUACUAUAACAAUCGUUAAAACUUUCAACAACGGAUCUCUUGGUUCUGGCAUCGAUGAAGAACGCAGCGAAAUGCGAUAAGUAAUGUGAAUUGCAGAAUUCAGUGAAUCAUCGAAUCUUUGAACGCACAUUGCGCCCCUUGGUAUUCCGAGGGGCAUGCCUGUUCGAGCGUCAUUUCAACCCCUCAAGCUCUGCUUGGUGUUGGGCAUUCGCCGCUUUCCCGCGGCGGGCCUUAAAAUCAGUGGCGGUGGCCGUCUUAGGCUCUAAGCGUAGUAGUAACCUCUCGCUCUGGAGACCCGGCGGUGACUUGCCAGACAACCUUUUUUACUUUUUUUUCAAAGGUUUGACCUCGGAUCAGGUAGGGAUACCCGCUGAACUUAAGCAUAUCAAUAAGCGGAGGA